ACAGGGACGCCAGGCGAAUUUAGGGGCAUUGACGGAGGCAUUGGGGGUCGAUUUACCAUAAGAGGUUGGCCGUGCAUCAUUGACAUUGGAGGAGGUGGAGGCCGAACAGAAGGAAUCAUGUUGACAACUGGCAGCCUUGGUGGUGGCGGUGCAAUUACCCCAGAAUUUGAAGUGGUUGAAUACUGGACAGUAGUUGGAGGUCUAGGGAUAUUCAAAACAAGCCCAGGAGGCGGAGGAAGAGGCCUAACUGAUGGCAUACCAGGUCUGGGAGGAGGAGGUGCUGGACCAGGAAGGUUUAUAGCAUUAUUAUAUGUAGGAUCAUUUUGGUCCUCCCCAGCAAUAUUCUGGGACAAGGCCUGGCUAGCUGUGCGACCAAUGCUUCCUGAAUGACCAUCCCAUAUGACCUGCUUCGGUUGUUCAUCUUUC
rnacentral:lncRNA from 1 species